GACGAACGCUGGCGGCGUGCCUAAUACAUGCAAGUUGAGCGCUGAAGGUUGGUACUUGUACCGACUGGAUGAGCAGCGAACGGGUGAGUAACGCGUGGGGAAUCUGCCUUUGAGCGGGGGACAACAUUUGGAAACGAAUGCUAAUACCGCAUAAAAACUUUAAACACAAGUUUUAAGUUUGAAAGAUGCAAUUGCAUCACUCAAAGAUGAUCCCGCGUUGUAUUAGCUAGUUGGUGAGGUAAAGGCUCACCAAGGCGAUGAUACAUAGCCGACCUGAGAGGGGGAUCGGCCACAUUGGGACUGAGACACGGCCCAAACCCCUACGGGAGGCAGCAGUAGGGAAUCUUCGGCAAUGGACGAAAGUCUGACCGAGCAACGCCGCGUGAGUGAAGAAGGUUUUCGGAUCGUAAAACUCUGUUGGUAGAGAAGAACGUUGGUGAGAGUGGAAAGCUCAUCAAGUGACGGUAACUACCCAGAAAGGGACGGCUAACUAC
rnacentral:rRNA from 1 species